rnacentral:rRNA from 1 species
GACGGAGGGUGCUAGCGUUGUUCGGAAUCACUGGGCGUAAAGGGCGCGCAGGCGGCCCUUCGCGUCGGACGUGAAAGGCCCGGGGCCUCAACCCCGGAACGGCGUACCCGAUACGGGGGGCUCGAGGCCGGGAGAGGGGGGUGGAAUACCCAGUGUAGAGGUGAAAUUCGUAGAUAUUGGGUGGAACACCGGUGGCGGAAGGCGGCAACCUGGUCCUUGACUGACGCUGAGGCGCGAAAGCGUGGGGAGCAAACAGG